GAUGAACGCUGGCGGCGUGCUUAAUACAUGCAAGUCGAACGAAGAGCCUUUGUAGCAAUACGAGGGUUUCUUAGUGGCGAACGGGUGCGUAACGCGUUGGUGACCUGCCCAGAAGUGUGGGAUAACAGUUCGAAAGGACUGCUAAUACCGCAUGUGGUCAUCGAGUUUAGAAAUCGAUGAUUAAAGCAGUAAUGCGCUUCUGGAGGGACCUGCGUCCCAUCAGCUAGUUGGUAAGGUAAAAGCUUACCAAGGCUACGAUGGGUAGCUGGUCUGAGAGGAUGGCCAGCCACACUGGAACUGGAACACGGUCCAGACUCCUACGGGUGGCUG
rnacentral:rRNA from 1 species